CAGUAGCCGCGGGAACACGUAGGGUGCGAGCGUUAAUCGGAAUUACUGGGCGUAAAGCGUGCGCAGGCGGUUUUGUAAGACAGGCGUGAAAUCCCCGGGCUCAACCUGGGAACUGCAUUUGUGACUGGCAAGCUAGAGUGUGGCAGAGGGGGGUGGAAUUCCGCGUGUAGCAGUGAAAUGCGUAGAUAUUGGGAAGAACACCGGUGGCGAAGGCGGCAACCUGGCUCAUUACUGACGCUGAGGCGCGAAAGCGUGGGGAGCAAACAGGAUUAGAUACCCGGUAGUCCCUGUCUCUUAUACA
rnacentral:rRNA from 1 species